AUACUUAACCUGAGGGGAGAUACCAUGAUCGGGAAGGUGUUUUUUUUCUGGGUGAGGCUUAUUCAUUGCAUUCCAGAUGUGCUGACCCUUGAUUUCCCCAAACAUAGGAAACUCAGCUGCACAAUUUUUUUUUAAGAUUUUAUUUAUUUAUUUUUCG